GCGAAGAACCUUACCAAGGCUUGACAUAUACAGGAAAAGCGUAGAAAUUCGCUCCCCGCAAGGUCUGUAUACAGGUGGUGCAUGGUUGUCGUCAGCUCGUGUCGUGAGAUGUUGGGUUAAGUCCCCGCAACGAGCGCAACCCUCGUCCUAUGUUGCCAGCACGUAAUGGUGGGAACUCAUGGGAGACUGCCGGGGUCAACUCGGAGGAAGGUGGGGAUGACGUCAAAUCAUCAUGCCCCUUAUGUCUUGGGCUUCACGCAUGCUACAAUGGCCGGUACAAAGGGCUGCAAUACCGCAAGGUGGAGCGAAUCCCAUAAAGCCGGUCUCAGUUCGGAUUGGGGUCUGCAACUCGACCCCAUGAAGUCGGAGUCGCUAGUAAUCGUAGAUCAGCAACGCUACGGUGAAUACGUUCCCGGGC
rnacentral:rRNA from 1 species